rnacentral:rRNA from 1 species
UACGAAGGGUGCAAGCGUUACUCGGAAUUACUGGGCGUAAAGCGUGCGUAGGCGGUGAGUUAAGUCUGUCGUGAAAGCCCCGGGCUCAACCUGGGAAUGGCGAUGGAUACUGGCUCGCUAGAGUGCGGUAGAGGAGAGUGGAAUUCCCGGUGUAGCGGUGAAAUGCGUAGAGAUCGGGAGGAACAUCAGUUGCGAAGGCAGCUCUCUGGACCAGCACUGACACUGAGGCACGAAAGCGUGGGGAGCAAACAGG